GCACAUCGCUAACGGAGGAGAAGCAGUUUGGCAGUGCAGAUAAUUCCCCAAUUAAAGGCUAGAGACUCGUAGCAUGACUGACGUUUACAGGAGGCCAUGUAAAAUGCAAUAUUUGCUCAGAAUCUGAGCAAAUAUUUUGAUUGGUUUUGUUGGUCAUACAUGAUGUAUUGUGAGCUUUUUGGGCCAGACCAUGAUCUAUUAAUGUUUAGGGUACAUCAUGCAUUGCCAAAAUUAGGGGGCAGGGAGGAAACUUGCCAGAAGUGAACAUGGGUAGUACAAAGGACAUGCAAGAAGGAAAAUGAAUAACUUCAAUGGGAAUGCAAGGAUGACAUCUUUUCAGGUCAAAAAGAAAAGACGAAUCAUUGUUGGAAAGGCUGACUGCAAGCACACAAGCUACUGACAUGGCUUUUAUCGAUCCACUGUCUUCGAUACCGUGAAUCCUCCUCUCCACCCUCUCAGGGCUGGGCAUCUCAGGUUCUGCACACUUUUGGAUUGCAUCUUACCUGGCAGGUCGCUACUACCAGAUGGCGUGGAGAGGAUCUGCACCAGGAUCUGCAUGCUCUCACUACUGGUUUUCCCCAGUGCUCAGUUCUAGAUCCUAUUUUCUCUUUACACCAAGUCACUCAACUCUGCCAUAUCGUCACAUGGUAUCUCCUAUCACCAGCUAGUUCCGACCCCCACUCCACAUCAGCCCACAUUAUUGCACAUGCCGCCAAAUACACCCCCCCCACCCCCCCAGUGACUGGCGAGAUAUGGUCCGUCAAAUCUUUUUUUAACUAACUCAUGUUUAAAACAAAUACAAUAUGUAAAAACACCACUGGAGAUAAAACUCACCACUAUAACUCUGUCUCUGCUUUAGCCAUUUUAUUUGCCUCCCUCUUGUGCUGUCUAUCGGUCUCAGUGUCUUCUCUGCUGUAACUCUGUGCUUCUUCUUCUCUGUCUGUCUGCCUGUCUGCUUAAGCCUUAUAUAUUCUAAAAAGCCAAGCUAACAACUUAGGCUAUAUUUCAAAUGAAUGCCCGUCGUAUGUCUUCCCCUGAAUCACGUAAAACAUUUUCUCCUUCGCCGCCUUAAAAGGUGUCAUGUGCCACAGAUACAUACAAUAUGCCCAACCCUGGAGUAUACCGCUCCUGCUCGACACAGCUCACUGACCCAGGCCCAGUCUAAUGACCUGGAGCAUAUUCAGACGAGAGCAUGCUGCAUCAUCCUAGGAGGAUGCUUUCAUUAUACUGAAGCACGUCAGACCCUGUCCCUACCACGGCUUCAUGUAAGACGGACACAACUUUGCAAUGACUUCACCGCCAGCUUCAAAUCAGAGACUGGCUACCGCUUGACCAAAUCUCAGUGACAGGCAGGAACAUCUGCAGACAAAACAAACCUACUAUACCAAAGUAUAGAACUGAAUGCUACAUUAAGUAACCAAUCCCAUAUUCCUGCUAAUUGUUUAAUGAGUGGCCUUAUUGAUAAACAAAAUCUUAUUUUUUAUCCAUUCAAAUGUUGUAUGCUCAUGGAUUUCAGUUUGUUUUCACUACUAUACAAGUUUUGAAAAAAGUAGCUGAAAAAAAACCUACUCUAACUUAUUUAUUACCCGAGAGUCAAUGUCCACUCCUCCGCAGAAAUUGAAUUAGCAUAAUAGAACAAAAAAAUAUAUCCCCAUAAAAAUAUAUAUUUUUUUGUUGUUGCAAUGGAUGCAUCUCAAUCCACCACUCAAUCCACCACAGCCGAUAUCGAAUUCUGCAUCUGUGGUGGUAGGUGACAGAGCUAGAAUGGUGUUUGUCAGGACCAUGAGACAUCUGAAAAUUGGUCUUAGCACAAAAUCAUCUGUGGCGUCCAAACAGUUGGGCCUACAACCCCCACAAGCAUCUUGGGACUCUAAUAUGACCCCUGUAUGGAACGGUACGACUCACACAAACUUGUACAUGUCAGCUGUUUUGCUUUAGGAUAACCACAGGCCUCACAAGACUCGUCCGAAGGUCGUAUGGGACCUUUGAAAUGGUCCAGCGGUCCUACAGUACCGUUGAAAAAAUUAUUGGAAAUAUACAGUUGAAGUCGGAAGUUUACAUACACUUAGGUUGGAGUCAUUCAAACUAAUUUAUCAACCACUCCACAAAUUUCUUGUUAACAAACUACAGUUUUGGCACAUCGGUUAGGACAUCUACUUUGUGCAUGACACAAGUCAUUUUUCCAACAAUUGUUUACAGACAGAUUAUUUCACUUUUAAUUCACUGUAUCACAAUUCCAAUGGGUCAGAAGUUUACAUACACUAAAUUGACUGUGACUUUAAACAGCUUGGAAAAUUCCAGAAAAUGUUAUUUUGCCUAUUUCUCUUUUUUGUCUGGACAACGCAUAGAUGGUGGACAAUCUAUUCCUAGUAUUUACGGAAUGUCUGUCUCUUCCCAACUGAGUACCAUUGUGAAUAGAACUUGGCCAUUUUAAAUGAUGUAUAUUAUGAAAUAAAAUAAGCAUGUUCCUUUCAAUUAUCUUAUCGAUUGAUGACCAACCAAGAACAUUGCGCAUGACUGCAACAGAAGAACCAUAUCUCCACCUUAAAACAAUCCUUGCUGCUUUGUUCUGUGCAUUCUGCAGCCUCCUAACUUCACUUGAUGAUGCAUUUCCCCAGACCACAGAACAGUAGUUCACCUGACUCUCUAUUAAUGCUUGUGUUAUUUACAGAAUAAUUUUUCCUGGUAAAUAUUUAGCUAUCCUUCUGAUUAUGCAUGCUGUUUUAAUAUAUAUAUUUUUUACAUAGAUUAGUUAUUUGAGACGACCAUGAUAAGCAGUUGUCUAGCUGCACUCCCAAUAGUUUGGUUCAUGCAACUUCUUCAAUUUGUACUCCUUCCAUACUUAAUUGUAUCCCAUGCUGUUUUGGCCUUUUCCUAGUGGAACAGACUAACAUAACUUUGGUUUUCUUGGUGUUCAAAACAAGUUUGUUUUGGCAAACCCACUCCCUAAUAUUCUCCAAAUCUCCUUGUAAAGCUUGCUGUACCUGUUGAACAGAUUGUCUUGCUAAAUAAAUUGUAGUAUCAUCUGCAAAUAUAGUAGCUUGAGUUUCAGCUAAGGCAUAGGGAAGGUCAUUGGUAUAUAUUAAAUAGAGAAGUGGCCCAAGGCAGCUGCCCUGCGGUAUUCCACAGUUUAACACGAGGGGAAGAAAAUGAACCAUUGAUAUAGGUGGACUGUUUCUUGUCAGUUAGAUAUAACUGUACCCAAUUCAAUGCUACCUCCUUAAAACCAUAAUACAUUAAUUUUGUCAAAAUUAUUUCAAGAUCCACUAAAUCAAAUGUUGCACUGAAAUCUAAAAAUAGCACACCCACAAACUUGCCAUUAUACAUAGAAUUGAAUCACUGGUCAGUCAUGUCAACCAAUGCAGUGGUAGUGGAAUGUUUUUUUCGAUAAGCAUGCUGAUUGGCUGUAAUCAGAUCAUUAUUUUCCAUGUACUCCCAUAUUUGUCUACUCACAAUACCCUCCAAUAUCUUACUGAGUGUAGGGAGUAGACUAAUGGCAGGAGUAAUGGGUUCUUUGCAGUCUUGCGGAUUAGGACACAGUUUCGCAUGCUUCCAUUCAUUUGCAAACAUCCCCUUUUCCAGUGACCAAUUAAAUAUGUAUCACAGUGGAACUGCAAUCUGGGGAGCAGCACAGCGAAGCAAAAAUUUGUCCAUAAGACCAUAACCUUUAGAUGUACCAUCAAGUAAUGACUUCAAUAGGUUUAACACCUCCACUGACACCAUUUGCAGACCAAAAGAGCAGAUCUUGUUGCUCAUAAUAUGAUCAUCAAUCCAUUGGACAGUAGCUUGUUUGGAAGAAUGUAUGUUUACAUUGUUGCUCAGUAAAUUAAUUUUCUUUGUAAAAAAAUCUGCAAAAUGAUUGGCAAUAUCAGUUGGUUUUGUUAUUAUUCUCCCGUCAACCUCCACACUAGAUGGGCAUGAUGAGAUAGAUGUACCAAGUAAGCCCUUAACUGUGUUCCAUACCUUUUUAGAAUCAUUUUUACAAUCAAUAAAAGCAUUGUUGUAAAAUAUAUGUUUUUCUUUCGAUUCAAUUUAACUGCAUAAUUACAUAAUGUUCUAGAAUUCUGUUCAACAAUUUCUAAUUUUGACUUGGCUGCUAAGACUUUUGCCAUAUUUCUUUGAGAAAAAGCCUCACCCAGUUCAUCAUCAAUCCAUAGAAAUGGACGAGCACCAACUGAUGGUCCAUUACCUCAGUGAGCAAAUC
ensembl:lncRNA